rnacentral:rRNA from 1 species
GAUGAACGCUGGCGGCGUGCCUAAUACAUGCAAGUCGAGCGAAUGGAUUAAGAGCUUGCUCUUAUGAAGUUAGCGGCGGACGGGUGAGUAACACGUGGGUAACCUGCCCAUAAGACUGGGAUAACUCCGGGAAACCGGGGCUAAUACCGGAUAACAUUUUGAACCGCAUGGUUCGAAAUUGAAAGGCGGCUUCGGCUGUCACUUAUGGAUGGACCUGCGUCGCAUUAGCCAGUUGGGGGGGUAACGGCUCACCAAGGCAACGAUGCGUAGCCGACCUGAGAGGGUGAUCGGCCACACUGGGACUGAGACACGGCCCAGACUCCUACGGGAGGCAGCAGUAGGGAAUCUUCCGCAAUGGACGAAAGUCUGACGGAGCAACGCCGCGUGAGUGAUGAAGGCUUUCGGGUCGUAAAACUCUGUUGUUAGGGAAGAACAAGUGCUAGUUGAAUAAGCUGGCACCUUGACGGUACCUAACCAGAAAGCCACGGCUAACUACGUGCCAGCCGCCGCAGUAA